ACGUUGCGCUGCUGUUUUAUUAGUCUCUAUGAUUUUCCAGUUCAUUUAGGCUUACGGAGCAGCAGUAGAUGAAAAACGAAAACUCAAAAGGCAGUAGCUUCAAAAUUGAAUGAAGCAUACUGCAAGAGAGGGUUUUAACAUUU
rnacentral:snoRNA from 1 species